rnacentral:lncRNA from 1 species
AAUAUUUCAUUCACUUGAACAACUCUAUAGUAAUUGUUUUGUCUUCUCUUUUCUCUUUUUAUUCUUUUUUUUUGUUGAAGGAAUAUGUAUUGACAUGUAUUGAAAUAUUACAAACAUAAUGUCUUUUUUUCCUUCCUCUUAUCCUUCUAUUUUUUCUUUCUCCUAUCCUUCUAUUUUUUUCAUUCCUUUUUUUUUAUUUUCUAUUUUUUUUCUUUUUCUGCCAACUUCUGAAAUAUUACAAACAUAAUUAUUCAACCCCACACACUCCAAACAAGACUCU